GACGAACGCUGGCGGCGUGCUUAACACAUGCAAGUCGAACGGUGAAGCGCCUUCCUUUUUGGUGGGUGUGGAUGGGUGGCGAACGGGUGAGUAACACGUGAGUAACCUGCCCCUUUCUUCUGGAUAACCGCAUGAAAGUGUGGCUAAUACGGGAUAUUCUGGGUCUGUCGCAUGAUGGGUCUGGGAAAGAUAUUGUGUCGGUGGGGGCUGGGCUCGCGGCCUAUCAGGUUGGUGGUGGGGGGACGGCCUACCAAGGCGGUGACGGGUUGCCGGGCUGGGAGGAUGGGCCGCCAUGCAGGGGCGAAGCCGCCCACCCGACUCCGAGAGGCAGCAGCGGUGGAGAAUAGUGCACGGUGGGCGCAAUGCUGAUGCCGCGACGCCUCGUGAGAGAAGGAGGCCGUCGGGUUGUGAACCUCUUUCGCCAGUGAAGCGGGCCUGCCUCGUUUGUGGGUGGGUUGACGGUAGCUGGAUAAGAAGCGCCGGCUAACUACGUG
rnacentral:rRNA from 1 species